rnacentral:misc_RNA from 1 species
UCCUAAUUCAUAGAUUAAUUUUCAUGAGCCUGUUCUUGCAACGCUAUCGAAGCGAGAUCAUCAUACGACAUUAGACAAGAGAAUGAGAUUUUUCUCAAUUUUUUCAUCUUUUCGGGCAUUUUUAAAUUUAGUUUUCUUCUCUCAUCCUCUCAUUCAUCUGUACAUUACUGCAAAAUUAUUUUUUUUGAUUGGAAUUCUAAGGAAGUAAUUAAGCAAUAAAAAAAAGGGGGAGGAAGACUGCUCCGAUCUUCCAUUGUUUCUUCUCCGGUGUCAUUUCGCUGAGCAGCGGCAGCCAUUGUUGAUGACUAUAGAACAGUUCAACAGUAAUCAUAGAUGGAUUACUCAAUCUUGCUGAUGCCAAUACGCUUAAUGACUGCAUUCCUUAUUGCAUCAGUCUGCAUGCAGAGACCAUUUUGUUCAAACCCAGACAUGUAACUCUUAACUUCCUUUCUAAUCAUAUCUUGCAGAACUGAUAAGAACUCUGGAGUAAAAAACUGUUUCUCUCCUGAUUUGGGUGCAGCACUAAAAUCAUAACUUUGAUUAGAUUGAGCAAGAUGACCCAUGAAAGCCGAUGGUGGACAAGUUACGGGUACGGAUGGGGGAAUCGGUUUAUCAACCGCCGGCAAAGGAGGCGGUGGUAGUGGUGGUGAUUUAGGGGACUGGGUUGGCUUUUCGAUGGAUCCGGAUCCGGAUCCGGGUAACGAAAGGCAGAGAGAUGUUGGUGGGUCGGGUACAGAUGGAGGAAUUUCGAUCUGCUUAACCGGAGGAGGAGGAGGAAGAGGGAAAAUCCCGCCGGUACGGGGAACAGGUCUGUAAACAUGCGAUUGGGGAAAACCCGAAAGACUAGAAUCACUCAAGUCGGAUCCAGACGGACUACCCGGAUUCAUAACAGAAGAAAAAUUGGUACAGGGACCAACACUAGACGAUCUUUUCAAAGGCGGUUGAGGGGUUUCAAAGCUUAAAUCUUCGGACAUGGAAGGACACUUACGUUUAAGAGUAGAGUUCCAAUGGUUCUUUAUAGCGUUAUCAGUCCGACCCGAUAACAAACGGGCAAUAGUCGCCCAUUUAUUACCAAACUUGGCAUGAGCCCUGAUGAUCGUAUCAUCUUCUUCAGGAGUAAAAGCACGAUGUUCCACUUGAGGUGAAAGCUGAUUACACCACCGGAGACGACAGGAUUUACCAGAUCGACCCGGCACCGAUUUGCUUAUCAAAGUCCAGUUUCUAGGUCCAUGUUUCUCAACAAGCGUCUGCAACAACUCGUCCUCUUCAGGACUCCAUGGACCUUUGAUCCGAUCCGAAUCUUUUCUCUGCGUAAUCGCUGCCAUCAAAGGAAUAGCAACCGAUUAAUUAAGAAAAAGGGUAUGAUAGAUAUAGAGAAAGCGUGGAUAGAGAAGUUUCCGGCGAAUAUAUUUACAAAUUAGACGGUGGUGGGAGGCGGAGCCUCG